rnacentral:rRNA from 1 species
AUUGAACGCUGGCGGCAGGCCUAACACAUGCAAGUCGAGCGGAUGACGGGAGCUUGCUCCUUGAUUCAGCGGCGGACGGGUGAGUAAUGCCUAGGAAUCUGCCUGGUAGUGGGGGACAACGAGUCGAAAGGAACGCUAAUACCGCAUACGUUCUACGGGAGAAAGCAGGGGACCUGCGGGCCUUGCGCUAUCAGAUGAGCUUAGGUCGGAUUAGCUAGUAGGUGAGGUAAUGGCGCACCUAGGCGACGAUCCGUAACUGGUCUGAGAGGAUGAUCAGUCACACUGGAAAUGAGACACGGUCCAGACUCAUACGGGAGGCAGCAGUGGGGAAUAUUGGACAAUGGGCGAAAGCCUGAUCCAGCCAUGCCGCGUGUGUGAAGAAGGUCUUCGGAUUGUAAAGCACUUUAAGUUGGGAGGAAGGGCAGUAAGUUAAUACCUUGCUGUUUUGACGUUACCGACAGAAUAAGCACCGGCUAACUCUGUGCCAGCCGCCGCAGUAA